rnacentral:rRNA from 1 species
CUCAGAUUGAACGCUGGCGGCAUGCCUUACACAUGCAAGUCGAACGGUAACAGGUCUUCGGAUGCUGACGAGUGGCGAACGGGUGAGUAAUACAUCGGAACGUGCCCGAUCGUGGGGGAUAACGGAGCGAAAGCUUUGCUAAUACCGCAUACGAUCUACGGAUGAAAGCAGGGGACCGCAAGGCCUUGCGCGGACGGAGCGGCCGAUGGCAGAUUAGGUAGUUGGUGGGAUAAAAGCUUACCAAGCCGACGAUCUGUAGCUGGUCUGAGAGGACGACCAGCCACACUGGGACUGAGACACGGCCCAGACUCCUACGGGAGGCAGCAGUGGGGAAUUUUGGACAAUGGGCGAAAGCCUGAUCCAGCCAUGCCGCGUGCAGGAUGAAGGCCUUCGGGUUGUAAACUGCUUUUGUACGGAACGAAAAGACUCCUUCUAAUAAAGGGGGUCCAUGACGGUACCGUAAGAAUAAGCACCGGCUAACUACGUGCCAGCAGCCGCGGUAAUACGUAGGGUGCAAGCGUUAAUCGGAAUUACUGGGCGUAAAGCGUGCGCAGGCGGUAAUGUAAGACAGUUGUGAAAUCCCCGGGCUCAACCUGGGAACUGCAUCUGUGACUGCAUUGCUGGAGUACGGUAGAGGGGGAUGGAAUUCCGCGUGUAGCAGUGAAAUGCGUA